rnacentral:rRNA from 1 species
UACGGAGGGUGCAAGCGUUAUCCGGAUUCACUGGGUUUAAAGGGUGCGUAGGCGGGCAGGUAAGUCCGUGGUGAAAUCUCUGAGCUUAACUCAGAAGCUGCCAUGGAUACUAUUUGUCUUGAAUAUUGUGGAGGUAAGCGGAAUAUGUCAUGUAGCGGUGAAAUGCUUAGAUAUGACAUAGAACACCAAUUGCGAAGGCAGCUCGCUAAACUGGUACUGACGCUGAGGCACGAAAGCGUGGGUAGCAAACAGG